rnacentral:rRNA from 1 species
GGCCUUCGGGUUGUAAAGCCCUUUUGUUGGGAAAGAAAUCCAGCUGGCUAAUACCCGGUUGGGAUGACGGUACCCAAAGAAUAAGCACCGGCUAACUUCGUGCCAGCAGCCGCGGUAAUACGAAGGGUGCAAGCGUUACUCGGAAUUACUGGGCGUAAAGCGUGCGUAGGUGGUCGUUUAAGUCCGUUGUGAAAGCCCUGGGCUCAACCUGGGAACUGCAGUGGAUACUGGGCGACUAGAGUGUGGUAGAGGGUAGCGGAAUUCCUGGUGUAGCAGUGAAAUGCGUAGAGAUCAGGAGGAACAUCCAUGGCGAAGGCAGCUACCUGGACCAACACUGACACUGAGGCACGAAAGCGUGGGGAGCAAACAGGAUUAGAUAC